CGCUUUAACUUCUCGCCGAGAGCAGUUGCCCUGCCUUUCCACCCCCGCUGUUCUGGCAAUGGUUUGUCCUGGAGCAAAGCAUAAAGGGAACCGAAGGCGGGGAAAGAAGCCCUUCUCUUUCUUGCGCGCGAGCGAGGUUGCGUUUCGGCAGUAAUGGAGGCAAAGUGGCGCACAGGCCUCUGGGCCCAGGCGCGCGGCGCUACCUUGGAGGGUCCCCGGAGGGAAGUGGGAGCGCGGCGACUGCCGCGACCGAGUCGUGACUUUGCUCUGGCAGGGCGCGUACUUGGUAGCCGAUCGUGAAACACGUGACAAGCGGGAACACGUGAUGUAAGCAGAAACAGCUGCCAUUUUGAAUGUCAAAUAAUGUGUAGGAUGCAGAUCAACCAGAGAGGUGCUGGGCUGAUCAUGGUUCCACUUCUGGAUCUUACUAGCUGAAGCAGCAUUUCAUUACGGAACAUUUGAGGCUGUAGAAUGAGUGAACCCGAAAGUAAAAGACAGAAGAUUGACUUUUUGCAUAACGACCGUCAAAAGAAGCCAUUGUUCUGAGGCAGUUCACAGCAACUGUGCGCUAGGCCUGCAGCGCAAUCCAAGAAUAGUGCUGUGGCAUCUUUCAAACCUGCAGAUUUAUUUCCCAAGGGGAAAAAAGUCUUUUGAGGAUGGCAAGCUGUUGAAAGAGGCAUUUUUGGCUGCUGCUAUUUUUCAAAUAAAAAGGAAAUAAUUGCAGCAAUUUGAACAUCAUACCAUUUCUGGAUGAAAUGGGACAAUCUCAAACACCAGUUGUAAAAUACUUUACAGAAAUGUCUUUGGACUUCACUUCAGUUUGAGGAAUCCAAAGACAUAGCAGAUUUCCCAGCUGGCAGUCAUUGCAAAGAUGAUAUUCAGUGACCUUUCUCUGAAAGAAGAGCUAUUCAAAUCCCUGUAUUUGAAAGAAAGAACAAGAGGUGAGGAUAUAUCUCAAAAGCUAUCUUCUGGAAACAAUUUUGCCUUUUCACAAAUUGACAUCUAUCAGUACUUGACGGGACACUAACUAUAGCGCACUUCACUAAAGAGUUUAUUGUCCUUUGCAAGAAAGGGUAAACAUCUUCCAACUUCAUUUCAUAUUCAUCAGAAUGUAUUCGGUGCUCGACUUGUGCAAUUCAAACUUGUUCUAGAUUUUGCUGCAAAAAUAUAAAUUCUACUCCGGCUGUCUCCUUGCAGCACAGGCUUUUUAUUGCAAUACUAUGGAAGAUGUUAGCACUGAUGUUGAGAACAUCAGCCUCAUUUCACAAACUUCAGGUGCUUAGAUAAUACUUACUUGGAUAAUAGAGCAAAGGUACUGGCUGUACACUGUGUGCGCAAUUAUUAGGCAAGUGAGUAUUUUGACCAUAGCAUCAUUUUUAUGCAUAUUUUCCACCUCCAAACUGUAUAAACCUGAAUGCUUAUUGGAUAUAAGCAUAGCAAGUGAUGUGUAUUUGUGUAAUGAGGGAGGGUGUGACCUAAGGAGGUCAACACCCUAUAUCAAGGUGUGCAUAAUUAUUAGGCAGCAGCUUUUCCUCAGGCAAAAUGGGCCAAAAAAGAGAUUUAACUUGACUCUUAAAAGUCAGAGGGAUGCAGCGCUCUUGAAAUUGCUAAGAUAUUGGGGCGUGACCACAGAACCAUAAAAAGUUUUGUUGCAAAUAGUCAACAGGGUUGCAAGAAACGUGUUGAGAAAAAGAUGCAAAUUAGCUGCCAAAGGUUUGAAAAGAAUCAAACGUGAAGCUAUCAGGAACCCAUUAUCCUUCAGUGCUGUCAUAUUCCAGAACUGCAACCUACCUGGAAUGCCCAGAAGUACAAGGUGUUCAGUGCUCAGAGACAUGGCCAAGGUAAGGAAGGCUGAAACUCCACCACCACUGAAGAAGACACAUAAGUUGAAAUGGCAAGACUGGGCCAAGAAAUAUCUGGAGACAGAUUUUUCAAAGGUUUUAUGGACUGAUGAGAUGAAAGUGCCUCUUGACAGACCAGAUGGAUGGGCCCGUGGCUGGAUCAGUAACAGGCACAGAGCGCCACAUCAACUCAGAUGCCAGCAAGGUGGAGGUGGGGUACUGGUAUGGGCUGGUGGUAUUAAAGAUGAGCUAGUUGGACCUUUUCGGGUUGAAGAUGGACUCCGAAUCAACUCCCAAACGUACUGCCAGUUUUUAGAAGACACUUUCUUCAAGCAGUGGUACAGGAGAAGUCUGCAUCUUUCAAGAAGACCAUGAUGUUUAUGCAGGACAAUGCUCUAUCACAUGCAUCGAAGUACUCCACUGCGUGGCUAGCCAGUAAAGGGCUCAAACAUGAAAGAAUAAUGACAUGGCCCCCUUCCUCACCUGACCUAAACCCUAUUGAGAACUUGUGGGCCCUUCUCAAACGGGAGAUGUACGGUGAAGGAAAACAGUACACCUCUCUGAACAGUGUCUGGGAGGCUGUGGUUGCUGCUGCACAAAAAGUUGAUCGUCAACAGAUCAAGAAACUGACAAGACUCGAAUGGAAGGCUUAUGACUCUUAUUGCAAAGGAUGGCUAUAUUGGUCACUGAUUUUUUGUUUGCAAUGUCAGAAAUGUUUAUUUGUAAAUUUUGAGUUGUUUGUGUAUUCUCACUUUAACAGGUGAAAAUAAACGAGUGAGAUAGGGCAAUUCUCGUUUUUCAUUUAGUUGCAUAAUAAUUCUGCACACUAAGUUACCCAAUAAUUGCACACACACGCGCGCUCCUAAGAAAGCCAAAACCUCACUUUCACUUUCUUAAAUAUUCAGGUUUGAGGUUUAUUAACAUUUUUGGAUUGAGAGCACUGUAGUUCAAUAAUGAAAUUCAUCCUCAAAAAUACAACUUGCCUAAUUGUGCAUGCAGUGUAUUUUAAAAUCUGAUUGAUGAAAUAACGUUUAUAAUGUUUCACUGUUGAGCAGUUUGAGGACAACCUUUGGCUACUGGACUUAGCUUUCCUCUCUGAUUUGAUGCAAAAGGUUUCUUUGAAUGCAGCCAAAUUUUGCUGUACUGUUUGUAAAACCAGGUAUUUUUUUUAUUAAUGAUCAUGAAGUAAACUAUUUUGUUUUAUCUGUUAA